rnacentral:rRNA from 1 species
ACGAACGCUGGCGGCGUGCUUAACACAUGCAAGUCGAACGGAAAGGCCUGCUUUCCCUUGUGGAUUGCGGGUACUCGAGUGGCGAACGGGUGAGUAACACGUGAGUGAUCAGCCCCCAACUUGGGUAUAAGCCUGGGAAACUGGGCCUAAUUCCCGAUAGGACUGCAGGGUGGUGUCUGUGGUGGAAAACGUUUUUCUAGUGGUUGGGGAUGAGCUCGCGGCCUAUCAGCUUGUUGGUGGGGUAAUGGCCUACCAAGGCGGCGACGGGUAGCCGGCGUGAGAGGGUGGACGGCCACAUUGGGACUGGGAUACGGCCCAGACUCCUACGGGAGGCAGCAGUGGGGAAUAUUGCACAAUGGGCGGAAGGCUGAUGCAGCGACGCCGCGUGGGGGAUGACGGCCUUCGGGUUGUAAACUCCUUUCGACCGCGAGGAAGCCACCUGGUUGGAAGGGUGGUGACGGUAGUGGUAGAAGAAGCACCGGCUAACUACGUG